rnacentral:rRNA from 1 species
CGUGCCUUUAGGUUCGGAAUAACUCAGGGAAACUUGUGCUAAUACCGAAUGUGCCCUUCGGGGGAAAGAUUUAUCGCCUUUAGAGCGGCCCGCGUCUGAUUAGCUAGUUGGUGAGGUAAAGGCUCACCAAGGCGACGAUCAGUAGCUGGUCUGAGAGGAUGAUCAGCCACAUUGGGACUGAGACACGGCCCAAACUCCUACGGGAGGCAGCAGUGGGGAAUCUUGCGCAAUGGGCGAAAGCCUGACGCAGCCAUGCCGCGUGAAUGAUGAAGGUCUUAGGAUUGUAAAAUUCUUUCACCGGGGACGAUAAUGACGGUACCCGGAGAAGAAGCCCCGGCUAACUUCGUGCCAGCAGCCGCGGUAAUACGAAGGGGGCUAGCGUUGCUCGGAAUUACUGGGCGUAAAGGGAGCGUAGGCGGACAUUUAAGUCAGGGGUGAAAUCCCGGGGCUCAACCUCGGAAUUGCCUUUGAUACUGGGUGUCUUGAGUAUGAGAGAGGUGUGUGGAACUCCGAGUGUAGAGGUGAAAUUCGUAGAUAUUCGGAAGAACACCAGUGGCGAAGGCGACACACUGGCUCAUUACUGACGCUGAGGCUCGAAAGCGUGGGGAGCAAACAGGAUUAGAUACCCUGGUAGUCCACGCCGUAAACGAUGAUUGCUAGUUGUCGGGAUGCAUGCAUUUCGGUGACGCAGCUAACGCAUUAAGCAAUCCGCCUGGGGAGUACGGUCGCAAGAUUAAAACUCAAAGGAAUUGACGGGGGCCCGCA